rnacentral:rRNA from 1 species
AAACUGAAGAGUUUGAUCCUGGCUCAGAUUGAACGCUGGUGGCAUGCUUAACACAUGCAAGUCGAACGGUAACAGGUCUUCGGAUGCUGACGAGUGGCGGACGGGUGAGUAACGCGUAGGAAUCUGCCCAUCUGUGGGGGAUACCAGUUGGAAACGACUGUUAAUACCGCAUAAUAUCUGCGGAUUAAAGGUGGCCUUUGCGCUGCCGCAGAUGGAUGAGCCUGCGUUGGAUUAGCUAGUUGGUGGGGUAAGGGCCUACCAAGGCUACGAUCCAUAGCUGAUUUGAGAGGAUGAUCAGCCACAUUGGGACUGAGACACGGCCCAAACUCCUACGGGAGGCAGCAGUGGGGAAUAUUGGACAAUGGGGGAAACCCUGAUCCAGCAAUGCCAUGUGUGUGAAGAAGGCUCUAGGGUUGUAAAGCACUUUAGUUGGGGAGGAAAGCCUGUGAGUUAAUAGCUUGCAGGAAGGACGUUGCCCAAAGAAUAAGGACCGGCUAACUCCGUGCCAGCAGCCGCGGUAAUACGGGGGGUCCGAGCGUUAAUCGGAAUUACUGGGCGUAAAGGGUCUGUAGGUGGUUUGUUAAGUCAGAUGUGAAAGCCCAGGGCUCAACCUUGGAACUGCAUUUGAUACUGACAAACUAGAGUAUGGUAGAGGAAUAGGGAACUUCUGGUGUAGCGGUGAAAUGCGUAGAGAUCAGAAGGAACACCAAUGGCGAAGGCAACAUUCUGGACCAAUACUGACACUGAGGGACGAAAGCGUGGGGAUCAAACAGGAUUAGAUACCCUGGUAGUCCACGCUGUAAACGAUGAGUACUAGCUGUUGGAUUCGGUGUAAAGGAUCUAGUGGCGCAGCUAACGCGUUAAGUACUCCGCCUGGGGACUACGGCCGCAAGGCUAAAACUCAAAGGAAUUGACGGGGACCCGCACAAGCGGUGGAGCAUGUGGGUUUAAUUCGAUGCAACGCGAAGAACCUUACCUGGUCUUGACAUCCUGCGAACUUUCUAGAGAUAGAUUGGUGCCUUCGGGAACGCAGUGACAGGUGCUGCACGGCUGUCGUCAGCUCGUGUUGUGAAAUGUUGGGUUAAGUCCCGCAACGAGCGCAACCCCUAUUGAUAGUUACCAUCAUUAAGUUGGGUACUCUAUUGAGACUGCCGCUGACAAGGCGGAGGAAGGUGGGGACGACGUCAAGUCAUCAUGGCCCUUACGACCAGGGCUACACACGUGCUACAAUGGGUAUUACAGAGGGCUGCGAAGGUGCGAGCUGGAGCGAAACUCAGAAAGGUACUCUUAGUCCGGAUUGCAGUCUGCAACUCGACUGCAUGAAGUCGGAAUCGCUAGUAAUCGCAGGUCAGAAUACUGCGGUGAAUACGUUCCCGGGUCUUGUACACACCGCCCGUCACACCAUGGGAGUGGGUUGCUCCAGAAGUAGAUAGCUUAACGAAUGGGCGUUUACCACGGAGUGAUUCAUAACUGGGGUGAAGUCGUAACAAGGUAGCCGUAGGGGAACCUGCGGCUGGAUCACCUCCUUA